UUCCCUCCAAUUAUUUUCCAUCCUCCAUUUUCCCUCUUUCCACUCUCCAUUCCCUCACUCUUCACUUAACCUCACUGUCGGCGAAGAGAAGAAGCUUUACAGUGAACGGAAAAGAGAACGCGAACGACUCCGACGACUGUUGCACAAUGAGGUUGUUGCAUGAUGAACGGACGGACGUGAACAAAUGAUUUGGACAAACGUGAACAGACUCCGAUGACCUUCUCUCCAUAUAAAUCCAGCGACUUGAACGGACUGACAAGAGUGGACGAUUCGAAUGGACGGGCGAGCUGCUGCACAUGAUUUGGACGGAAUCUUGCUGCCGCACCUGUUUGGAUGAGCUGUUGCACACAAAUUAGACAAGCUGCUAUACAAGAUUUAGAUAGACAAGCUGCAGCCAGUUUCACAUGGAUUGUUGCAUAUGAAUAGAAUGCCACUAAACAGAGUGGAACUCUGGUGAACGAAAACAAAACCUUCUUUUCAGAGAACGCACUCCUUUUUAGGAAGUCAUCGCGAAGCAUAUGGAUAGAUUGUGUCAAAAUCCAGAAAGAAGAACGAGCGCAUCGAGUUUUUCUGUUUAAAACUUGCUCCUCGACACUCGACGGUCAAUACUCGAUCAUCGACGCUUUGGAUGCUCUUUACUCGAUUUCCUUAACUCGAUGCAAGAUGAAUCAAAUGAAACUCGAUGGAAGAUGGUUGAAUACUCGAUAGUCUUUACUUGAUGCUUUUGACAGUAUUCUGUUAAAUAUUCGAUGGUUGAUGAUCCAACAACCUUACUCAAUGCUCUCUUGGGUGUUAUUCUUCUUCAAAAGUGAUAGAAUUUCAAGUGUUCACAAUUGAAGUAAGUCACAUUCGGAGGAGUUUGGAAUGAGUUAAUCACCUAAAAUUUGCACCAUCAAGAUUUUGGAUUCAAGGAGGAAGGUGUAUAGAAAUGUGACUGCUAGUCUCCAAUUAAGGUGACUAUUGAAUUUUGUAUAAGAGUUUAGUCAACUUCUUUAUUUUAGUAUGUUGUAUCUGUCAUAUG